UACGUAGGGAGCAAGCGUUGUCCGGAAUCAUUGGGCGUAAAGCGCGCGUAGGCGGCCCUGUAAGUCCGUUGUGAAAGUCAAAGGCUCAACCUUUGAAAGCCGAUGGAUACUGCAGGGCUAGAGUCCGGAAGAGGCGAGUGGAAUUCCUGGUGUAGCGGUGGAAUGCGCAGAUAUCAGGAGGAACACCAAUAGCGAAGGCAGCUCGCUGGGACGGUACUGACGCUAAGGCGCGGAAGCGUGGGGAGCGAACAGG
rnacentral:rRNA from 1 species